rnacentral:lncRNA from 1 species
CCCAUAGAAACAGAAACUUGGCGUUGUUUGACAUGGCUCUCUGGAGGUCAGGUUUUGGCCUGCUACACUGCAUAGAAAUAUAUACAAAUUAAUUGUUUUGACUAUUAACAGGAUCACAUAUUUCCAGAUCCAAUAGGAAAGAGGCUAAGCAGCGUGUGGACCAUAUAAAUAUUCUGCAAGUACUCUCAGAAAGGCUGCACAGAAACAGAGCUUAGUGACUCAGAUUCUCUACCCUUCGUGGCUACAUCUCGCCUCCCUCUUAAGAAAUGAGGUGUUUGGGAUAAUGGCCAGACCCUACCAGCUACUGAAGAAAUACAUCUUGAAAGAAUAAGGACAGGCAUGAAAAUAUGCAUGAAUUGACAUGGAACUUCAGGUUUGUCUAAUUUCAUUUCGUUGGGAUAGCAUUGGGGCUUUGAUCUGUAAUUUUGCUUUACU